rnacentral:misc_RNA from 1 species
UUUCCGUAAGUGAACCUGCGGAAGGAUCAUUAAAGAGAAUAUGCCCUUCGGGGUAGAUCUCCCACCCUUUGUUUAUAUUACCUUUGUUGCUUUGGCAGGCCCGUCUUCGGACCACCGGCUUCGGCUGGUCAGUGCUUGCCAGAGGACCCAAAACUCUUAUUAUUAAUGUCGUCUGAGUACUAUAUAAUAGUUAAAACUUUCAACAACGGAUCUCUUGGUUCUG